rnacentral:rRNA from 1 species
CCUAGCGGCGGACGGGUGAGUAAUGCUUAGGAAUCUGCCUAUUAGUGGGGGACAACAUUCCGAAAGGAAUGCUAAUACCGCAUACGCCCUACGGGGGAAAGCAGGGGAUCUUCGGACCUUGCGCUAAUAGAUGAGCCUAAGUCAGAUUAGCUAGUUGGUGGGGUAAAGGCCUACCAAGGCGACGAUCUGUAGCGGGUCUGAGAGGAUGAUCCGCCACACUGGGACUGAGACACGGCCCAGACUCCUACGGGAGGCAGCAGUGGGGAAUAUUGGACAAUGGGCGCAAGCCUGAUCCAGCCAUGCCGCGUGUGUGAAGAAGGCCUUUUGGUUGUAAAGCACUUUAAGCGAGGAGGAGGCUACUUAGAUUAAUACUCUAGGAUAGUGGACGUUACUCGCAGAAUAAGCACCGGCUAACUCUGUGCCAGCAGCCGCGGUAAUACAGAGGGUGCGAGCGUUAAUCGGAUUUACUGGGCGUAAAGCGUGCGUAGGCGGCUUUUUAAGUCGGAUGUGAAAUCCCUGAGCUUAACUUAGGAAUUGCAUUCGAUACUGGGAAGCUAGAGUAUGGGAGAGGAUGGUAGAAUUCCAGGUGUAGCGGUGAAAUGCGUAGAGAUCUGGAGGAAUACCGAUGGCGAAGGCAGCCAUCUGGCCUAAUACUGACGCUGAGGUACGAAAGCAUGGGGAGCAAACAGGAUUAGAUACCCUGGUAGUCCAUGCCGUAAACGAUGUCUACUAGCCGUUGGGGCCUUUGAGGCUUUAGUGGCGCAGCUAACGCGAUAAGUAGACCGCCUGGGGAGUACGGUCGCAAGACUAAAACUCAAAUGAAUUGACGGGGGCCCGCACAAGCGGUGGAGCAUGUGGUUUAAUUCGAUGCAACGCGAAGAACCUUACCUGGUCUUGACAUAGUAAGAACUUUCCAGAGAUGGAUUGGUGCCUUCGGGAACUUACAUACAGGUGCUGCAUGGCUGUCGUCAGCUCGUGUCGUGAGAUGUUGGGUUAAGUCCCGCAACGAGCGCAACCCUUUUCCUUAUUUGCCAGCGGGUUAAGCCGGGAACUUUAAGGAUACUGCCAGUGACAAACUGGAGG